rnacentral:rRNA from 1 species
GAUGAACGCUGGCGGCGUGCUUAACACAUGCAAGUCGAACGAUGAAGCCCAGCUUGCUGGGUGGAUUAGUGGCGAACGGGUGAGUAACACGUGAGUAACCUGCCCUUAACUCUGGGAUAAGCCUGGGAAACUGGGUCUAAUACCGGAUAGGAGCGCCUACCGCAUGGUGGGUGUUGGAAAGAUUCAUCGGUUUUGGAUGGACUCGCGGCCUAUCAGCUUGUUGGUGAGGUAAUGGCUCACCAAGGCGACGACGGGUAGCCGGCCUGAGAGGGUGACCGGCCACACUGGGACUGAGACACGGCCCGGACUCCUACGGGAGGCAGCAGUGGGGAAUAUUGCACAAUGGGCGAAAGCCUGAUGCAGCGACGCCGCGUGAGGGAUGACGGCCUUCGGGUUGUAAACCUCUUUCAGUAGGGAAGAAGCGAAAGUGACGGUACCUGCAGAAGAAGCACCGGCUAACUACGUG